GACGAACUCUGGCGGCGCGCCUAACACAUGCAAGUCGAACGAGCGAGAGAGAGCUUGCUUUCUCAAGCGAGUGGCGAACGGGUGAGUAACGCGUGAGGAGCCUGCCUCAAAGAGGGGGACAACAGUUGGAAACGACUGCUAAUCCCGCAUAAGCCCACAGGUCGGCAUCGACCAGAGGGAAAAGGAGCAAUCCGCUUUGAGAUGGCCUCGCGUCCGAUUAGCUAGUUGGUGAGGUAAUGGCCCACCAAGGCGACGAUCGGUAGCCGGACUGAGAGGUUGAACGGCCACAUUGGGACUGAGACACGGCCCAGACUCCUACGGGAGGCAGCAGUGGGGAAUAUUGCACAAUGGGGGAAACCCUGAUGCAGCGACGCCGCGUGGAGGAAGAAGGUCUUCGGAUUGUAAACUCCUGUUGUUGAGGAAGAUAAUGACGGUACUCAACAAGGAAGUGACGGCUAACUACGUGCCAGCAGCCGCGGUAAAACGUAGGUCACAAGCGUUGUCCGGAAUUACUGGGUGUAAAGGGAGCGCAGGCGGGAAGACAAGUUGGAAGUGAAAUCUAUGGGCUCAACCCAUAAACUGCUUUCAAAACUGUUUUUCUUGAGUAGUGCAGAGGUAGGCGGAAUUCCCGGUGUAGCGGUGGAAUGCGUAGAUAUCGGGAGGAACACCAGUGGCGAAGGCGGCCUACUGGGCACCAACUGACGCCGAGGCUCGAAAGUGUGGGUAGCA
rnacentral:rRNA from 1 species